GGGCGUGACAUUUGGUAUCAGAGCCGAGGACGACUCUUGUCCGAUGGUGGGAAGGGUGUGAGGCCCAAUAGUCCCACAUCGGAAAGACUCGUUCCAGAGCCUGGGCAUAUGAGGCGGGUGUCUCCUAAUCCUGCAGACGCGUUUUGGGUGGAAAACAAAACCGGGGAGGGGUGAAGGACGCUUGCGUGAAGCCCCAGAAUCGGACAAUAUCUGGCAGGGGAGCCCCGCGGUCCCCCCUCAUGUGGCCCCCACGUGGGCACUAGGUGCCUCACGUGCCUC
rnacentral:lncRNA from 1 species